rnacentral:rRNA from 1 species
AAUGAACGCUGGCGGCGUGCUUAACACAUGCAAGUCGUGCGCGAAGGUGGCUUCGGCCACCGGAGAGCGGCGAACGGGUGAGUAACACGUGGGUAAUCUACCUUGGAGCGGGGGAUAACCUGGGGAAACUCGGGCUAAUACCGCAUACGUCGGCGGGGCUACGGCUCCGCCAAGAAAGCUGGCCUCUGCUUGCAUGCUAGCGCUCCUAGAGGAGCCCGCGGCUGAUUAGCUAGUUGGUGGGGUAAUGGCCCACCAAGGCGACGAUCAGUA